rnacentral:rRNA from 1 species
AUUGAACGCUGGCGGCAUGCCUUACACAUGCAAGUCGAACGGCAGCACGGGAGCAAUCCUGGUGGCGAGUGGCGAACGGGUGAGUAAUAUAUCGGAACGUGCCCAGUCGUGGGGGAUAACGUAGCGAAAGCUACGCUAAUACCGCAUACGAUCUACGGAUGAAAGCGGGGGAUCGCAAGACCUCGCGCGAUUGGAGCGGCCGAUAUCAGAUUAGCUAGUUGGUGAGGUAAAGGCUCACCAAGGCGACGAUCUGUAGCUGGUUUGAGAGGACGACCAGCCACACUGGAACUGAGACACGGUCCAGACUCCUACGGGAGGCAGCAGUGGGGAAUUUUGGACAAUGGGCGCAAGCCUGAUCCAGCAAUGCCGCGUGCAGGAUGAAGGCCUUCGGGUUGUAAACUGCUUUUGUACGGAACGAAAAAGCUCUUU